UACGGAGGGGGCGAGCGUUAUUCGGAAUCACUGGGCGUAAAGCGUGCGUAGGCGGCUUAGUAAGUCAGAAGUGAAAUCCCCGGGCUUAACCCGGGAAUUGCUUUUGAAACUGCUUCGCUAGAAUCCGGAAGAGGUCAGGAGAAUUCCCAGUGUAGAGGUGAAAUUCGUAGAUAUUGGGAAGAAUACCAGUGGCGUAGGCGCCUGACUGGGCCGGUUUUGACGCUGAGGCACGAAAGCGUGGGGAGCAAACAGG
rnacentral:rRNA from 1 species